rnacentral:rRNA from 1 species
GAUGAACGCUAGCGAUAGGCUUAACACAUGCAGGUCGAGGGGCAGCAUGGUCUUAGCUUGCUAAGACUGAUGGCGACCGGCGCACGGGUGCGUAACGCGUAUGCAACUUGCCUCACAGAGGGGGAUAACCCGUCGAAAGACGGACUAAUACCGCGUACACUCCAUCUUGGGCAUCCAAGGUAGAGGAAAUGAAAUUCGCUGUGAGAUAGGCAUGCGUCCCAUUAGCUAGUUGGUGAGGUAACGGCUCACCAAGGCGACGAUGGGUAGGGGAACUGAGAGGUUGAACCCCCACACUGGUACUGAGACACGGACCAGACUCCUACGGGAGGCAGCAGUGAGGAAUAUUGGUCAAUGGGCGAGAGCCUGAACCAGCCAAGUCGCGUGAAGGAUGACUGUCUUAUGGAUGGUAAACUUCUUUUAUACGGGAAUAACAAGAGUCACGUGUGACUCCCUGCAUGUACCGUAUGAAUAAGCAUCGGCUAACUCCGUG